GACGAACGCUGGCGGCGUGCCUAAUACAUGCAAGUAGAACGCUGAAGGAGGAGCUUGCUUCUCUGGAUGAGUUGCGAACGGGUGAGUAACGCGUAGGUAACCUGCCUGGUAGCGGGGGAUAACUAUUGGAAACGAUAGCUAAUACCGCAUAAGAGUAGAUGUCGCAUGACAUUUGCUUAAAAGUUGCAAUUGCAUCACUACCAGAUGGACCUGCGUUGUAUUAGCUAGUUGGUGAGGUAACGGCUCACCAAGGCAACGAUACAUAGCCGAACUGAGAGGGGGAUCGGCCACACUGGGACGGAGACAGGGCCCAGACGACUGCGGGAGGCAGCAGUAGGGAAUCGUCGGCAAUGGACGGAAGUCUGACCGAGCAACGCCGCGUGAGUGAAGAAGGUUUUCGGAUCGUAAAGAUCGGUUGUAAGAGAAGAACGAGUGUGAGAGUGGAAAGUUCACACUGUGACGGUAUCUUACCAGAAAGGGACGGCUAACUACGUG
rnacentral:rRNA from 1 species